rnacentral:rRNA from 1 species
CAGUAGCCGCGGGAAAACAGAGGGUGCAAGCGUUAAUCGGAAUUACUGGGCGUAAAGCGCGCGUAGGUGGUUCGCCAAGUUGGAUGUGAAAUCCCCGGGCUCAACCUGGGAACUGCAUCCAAAACUGGCGAGCUAGAGUAUGGUAGAGGGUGGUGGAAUUUCCUGUGUAGCGGUGAAAUGCGUAGAUAUAGGAAGGAACAUCAGUGGCGAAGGCGACCACCUGGACUGAUACUGACACUGAGGUGCGAAAGCGUGGGGAGCAAACAGGAUUAGAUACCCCCGUAGUCCCUGUCUCUUAUAC